GGUAGGACUACCCGCUGAACUUAAGCAUAUCAAUAAGCGGAGGAAAAGAAACUAACAAGGAUUCCCCUAGUAACUGCGAGUGAAGCGGGAAAAGCUCAAAUUUAAAAUCUGGUGGUCUCCGGCCAUCCGAGUUGUAAUCUAGAGAAGUGUUACCCGCGUCGGACCGUGUACAAGUCUCCUGGAAUGGAGCGUCAUAGAGGGUGAGAAUCCCGUCUUUGACACGGACCCCCGAGGCUUUGUGGUGCGCUCUCAAAGAGUCGAGUUGUUUGGGAAUGCAGCUCAAAAUGGGUGGUAAAUUCCAUCUAAAGCUAAAUAUUGGCGAGAGACCGAUAGCGAACAAGUACCGUGAGGGAAAGAUGAAAAGAACUUUGGAAAGAGAGUUAAACAGUACGUGAAAUUGCUGAAAGGGAAACGCUUGAAGUCAGUCGCGUCGGCCGGAAAUCAGCCUUGCUCUUGCUUGGUGUACUUUCUGGUUGACGGGCCAGCAUCAGUUUUGACCGGUGGAUAAAGUUGUGAGGAAUGUGGCAUCUUCGGGUGUGUUAUAGCCUCGCUUCGUAUACAUCGGUUGGGACUGAGGAACUCAGCACGCCGAAAGGCCGGGGUUCGCCCACGUUCGUGCUUAGGAUGUUGGCAUAAU
rnacentral:rRNA from 1 species